GCUUCCGUAAUUCAAUCGGGAGAAUAACUGACUUUUAAUCAGGAGGUUGCUGGUUCAAGUCCAGCCGGGAGCACCA
rnacentral:tRNA from 1 species